rnacentral:rRNA from 1 species
GACGAACGCUGGCGGCGUGCUUAACACAUGCAAGUCGAACGGAAAGGCCCUGCUUGCAGGGUACUCGAGUGGCGAACGGGUGAGUAACACGUGGGUGAUCUGCCCUGCACUUCGGGAUAAGCCUGGGAAACUGGGUCUAAUACCGGAUAGGAGCCAUUUUUAGUGUGAUGGUUGGAAAGUUUUUUCGGUGUAGGAUGAGCUCGCGGCCUAUCAGCUUGUUGGUGGGGUAAUGGCCUACCAAGGCGGCGACGGGUAGCCGACCUGAGAGGGUGGACGGCCACAUUGGGACUGAGAUACGGCCCAGACUCCUACGGGAGGCAGCAGUGGGGAAUAUUGCACAAUGGGCGCAAGCCUGAUGCAGCGACGCCGCGUGGGGGAUGACGGCCUUCGGGUUGUAAACUCCUUUCGCUAGGGACGAAGCUUUUGUGACGGUACCUAGAUAAGAAGCACCGGCUAACUACGUG